rnacentral:rRNA from 1 species
UACGUAGGGCGCAAGCGUUGUCCGGAAUCAUUGGGCGUAAAGAGCUCGUAGGCGGCCUGUCGCGUCCGCUGUGAAAUCCCGGGGCUUAACCCUGGACCUGCAGUGGGUACGGGCAGACUGGAGUGCGGUAGGGGAGAUCGGAAUUCCUGGUGUAGCGGUGAAAUGCGCAGAUAUCAGGAGGAACACCGGUGGCGAAGGCGGAUCUCUGGGCCGUAACUGACGCUGAGGAGCGAAAGCAUGGGGAGCGAACAGG